rnacentral:tRNA from 1 species
GGGUGUUGCACUUCUAAAUAGACAUCGGGCCGAUCGGGGCCGACUGUAAAUCGGCUGCAUCACGCCACGCAGGUUCGAAUCCUGCACCCGCCA